rnacentral:rRNA from 1 species
AGGGCACCACCAGGAGUGGAGCCUGCGGCUUAAUUUGACUCAACACGGGAAAACUUACCCGGCCCGGACACUGGAAGGAUUGACAGAUUGAGAGCUCUUUCUUGAUUCAGUGGGUGGUGGUGCAUGGCCGUUCUUAGUUGGUGGAGCGAUUUGUCUGGUUAAUUCCGAUAACGAACGAGACUCUAGCCUACUAAAUAGACUACCGUUCCUUUGUGACGGUAGGACUUCUUAGAGGGACAGGCGGCGACUCAGCCGCACGAAACAGAGCAAUAACAGGUCUGUGAUGCCCUUAGAUGUCCGGGGCCGCACGCGCGCUACACUGAAGUGAUCAGCGUGCAUUAAUAACCCUCUCUGUCAAGAGUGGGUAACCCAUUGAACCUUCUUCGUGAUUGGGAUAGGGUAUUGUAAUUCUUACCCUUGAACGAGGAAUUCCCAGUAAGCGCGAGUCAUAAGCUUGCGUUGAUUACGUCCCUGCCCCUUUGUACACACCGCCCGCCCCUUCUACCGAUCGAUGAAUUU